rnacentral:rRNA from 1 species
AUUGAACGCUGGCGGCAGGCCUAACACAUGCAAGUCGAGCGGCAGCGGGAAAGUAGCUUGCUACUUUUGCCGGCGAGCGGCGGACGGGUGAGUAAUGCCUGGGGAUCUGCCCAGUCGAGGGGGAUAACUACUGGAAACGGUAGCUAAUACCGCAUACGCCCUACGGGGGAAAGCAGGGGACCUUCGGGCCUUGCGCGAUUGGAUGAACCCAGGUGGGAUUAGCUAGUUGGUGAGGUAAUGGCUCACCAAGGCGACGAUCCCUAGCUGGUCUGGGAGGAUGAUCAGCCACACUGGAACUGAGACACGGUCCAGACUCCUACGGGAGGCAGCAGUGGGGAAUAUUGCACAAUGGGGGAAACCCUGAUGCAGCCAUGCCGCGUGUGUGAAGAAGGCCUUCGGGUUGUAAAGCACUUUCAGCGAGGAGGAAAGGUUGGUAGCUAAUAACUGCCAGCUGUGACGUUACUCGCAGAAGAAGCACCGGCUAACUCCGUGCCAGCCGCCGCGGUAAGAC